rnacentral:rRNA from 1 species
CUAUACUGCAAGUCGAGCGAAAGAUAAGGAGCUUGCUCCUUUGACGUUAGCGGCGGACGGGUGAGUAACACGUGGGUAACCUACCUAUAAGACUGGGAUAACUUCGGGAAACCGGAGCUAAUACCGGAUAACAUUUGGAACCGCAUGGUUCUAAAGUGAAAGAUGGUUUUGCUAUCACUUAUAGAUGGACCCGCGCCGUAUUAGCUAGUUGGUAAGGUAACGGCUUACCAAGGCGACGAUACGUAGCCGACCUGAGAGGGUGAUCGGCCACACUGGAACUGAGACACGGUCCAGACUCCUACGGGAGGCAGCAGUAGGGAAUCUUCCGCAAUGGGCGAAAGCCUGACGGAGCAACGCCGCGUGAGUGAUGAAGGGUUUCGGCUCGUAAAACUCUGUUAUUAGGGAAGAACAAACGUGUAAGUAACUGUGCACGUCUUGACGGUACCUAAUCAGAAAGCCACGGCUAACUACGUGCCAGCAGCCGCGGUAAUACGUAGGUGGCAAGCGUUAUCCGGAAUUAUUGGGCGUAAAGCGCGCGUAGGCGGUUUCUUAAGUCUGAUGUGAAAGCCCACGGNNUCAACCGUGGAGGGUCAUUGGAAACUGGGAAACUUGAGUGCAGAAGAGGAAAGUGGAAUUCCAUGUGUAGCGGUGAAAUGCGCAGAGAUAUGGAGGAACACCAGUGGCGAAGGCGACUUUCUGGUCUGUAACUGACGCUGAUGUGCGAAAGCGUGGGGAUCAAACAGGAUUAGAUACCCUGGUAGUCCACGCCGUAAACGAUGAGUGCUAAGUGUUAGGGGGGUUUCCGCCCCUUAGUGCUGCAGCUAACGCAUUAAGCACUCCGCCUGGGGAGUACGACCGCAAGGUUGAAACUCAAAGGAAUUGACGGGGACCCGCACAAGCGGUGGAGCAUGUGGUUUAAUUCGAAGCAACGCGAAGAACCUUACCAAAUCUUGACAUCCUUUGAAAACUCUAGAGAUAGAGCCUUCCCCUUCGGGGGACAAAGUGACAGGUGGUGCAUGGUUGUCGUCAGCUCGUGUCGUGAGAUGUUGGGUUAAGUCCCGCAACGAGCGCAACCCUUAAGCUUAGUUGCCAUCAUUAAGUUGGGCACUCUAGGUUGACUGCCGGUGACAAACCGGAGGAAAGGGGGGGAUGACGUCAAAUCAUCAUGCCCCUUAUGAUUUGGGCUACCCCCGUGCUACAAUGGA